CUUAAAAUAGUUUAAAAUUAAAGAAUAUAAGAUUUGGGGUUUUAUGGUAAUCUAAUUUGAUUUUUUUUGA
rnacentral:tRNA from 1 species